UAGGGAAUCUUCCGCAAUGGGCGAAAGCUUGACGGAGCAACGCCGCGUGAGUGAUGAAGGUCUUCGGAUCGUAAAACUCUGUUAUUAGGGAAGAACAAAUGUGUAAGUAACUAUGCACGUCUUGACGGUACCUAAUCAGAAAGCCACGGCUAACUACGUGCCAGCAGCCGCGGCAAUACGUAGGUGGCAAGCGUUAUCCGGAAUUAUUGGGCGUAAAGCGCGCGUAGGCGGUUUUUUAAGUCUGAUGUGAAAGCCCACGGCUCAACCGUGGAGGGUCAUUGGAAACUGGAAAACUUGAGUGCAGAAGAGGAAAGUGGAAUUCCAUGUGUAGCGGUGAAAUGCGCAGAGAUAUGGAGGAACACCAGUGGCGAAGGCGACUAUCUGGUCUGUAACUGACGCUGAUGUGCGAAAGCGUGGGGAUCAAACAGG
rnacentral:rRNA from 1 species